rnacentral:rRNA from 1 species
UACAUGGGGUGCAAACGUUGCUCGGAAUUAUUGGGCGUAAAGCGCACGUAGGCGGUUCGUUAAGUCGGAUGUGAAAGCCCCUCGGCUCAACUGAGGAAGUGCACCCGAAACUGGCGAGCUUGAGUACGAAAGAGGAUCGCGGAAUUCCCGGUGUAGAGGUGAAAUUCGUAGAUAUCGGGAGGAACACCGGUGGCGAAGGCGGCGACCUGGUCCUUUACUGACGCUGAGGCGCGAAAGCGUGGGGAGCAAACAGG